GAAAUGCGAUAAGUAGUGUGAAUUGCAGAAUUCAGUGAAUCAUCGAAUCUUUGAACGCAUAUUGCGCCCCUUGGUAUUCCAUGGGGCAUGCCUGUUCGAGCGUCAUUUGUACCCUCAAGCUCUGCUUGGUGUUGGGUGUUUGUCCCGUCUCCGCGCGUGGACUCGCCCCAAAGUGAUUGGCAGCCGGCGUACUGGUCCCGGAGCGCAGCACAUGUCGCGCAAACGAGUGCCUUGGUACGGCGGCGUCCAUAAGCCCCUCUCUCACGCUCUUGACCUCGGAUCAGGUAGGGACACCCGCUGAACUUAAGC
rnacentral:misc_RNA from 1 species